GUACUCACUUAGGCAGCACAUAUACUAAGAUUGAAACAGUACAGAGAAGAUUAGCAUGGCCCCUGUGCAAGGAAGAUAUGCAAAUUCAUAAAGUGUUUCAUACUUUU
rnacentral:snRNA from 1 species